rnacentral:rRNA from 1 species
UACGUAGGGUCCGAGCGUUGUCCGGAAUUAUUGGGCGUAAAGGGCGCGUAGGCGGUUUGGCGCGUCGGGUGUGAAAACUCAGGGCUCAACCCUGAGCGUGCUUCCGAUACGGGCAGACUAGAGGUAUGCAGGGGAGAACGGAAUUCCUGGUGUAGCGGUGGAAUGCGCAGAUAUCAGGAGGAACACCGGUGGCGAAGGCGGUUCUCUGGGCAUUACCUGACGCUGAGGAGCGAAGGCAUGGGGAGCGAACAGG